GUAAUAAUCCUGUAGUCGAAAAUGUUGUCUCUCUUGAGUGGAUCCUGAGUACGACGGAGCACGUGAAAUUCCGUCGGAAUCUGGGAGGACCAUCUCCUAAGGCUAAAUACUCUCUAGUGACCGAUAGUGAACCAGUACCGUGAGGGAAAGGUGAAAAGCACCCCGGAAGGGGAGUGAAAUAGAACCUGAAACCGUGUGCUUACAAGUAGUCAGAGCCCGUUAAUGGGUGAUGGCGUGCCUUUUGUAGAAUGAACCGGCGAGUUACGAUUUGAUGCAAGGUUAAGCAGUAAAUGUGGAGCCGUAGCGAAAGCGAGUCUGAAUAGGGCGUUUAGUAUUUGGUCGUAGACCCGAAACCAGGUGAUCUACCCUUGGUCAGGUUGAAGUUCAGGUAACACUGAAUGGAGGACCGAACCGACUUACGUUGAAAAGUGAGCGGAUGAACUGAGGGUAGCGGAGAAAUUCCAAUCGAACCUGGAGAUAGCUGGUUCUCUCCGAAAUAGCUUUAGGGCUAGCCUCAAGUGAUGAUUAUUGGAGGUAGAGCACUGUUUGGACGAGGGGCCCCUCUCGGGUUACCGAAUUCAGACAAACUCCGAAUGCCAAUUAAUUUAACUUGGGAGUCAGAACAUGGGUGAUAAGGUCCGUGUUCGAAAGGGAAACAGCCCAGACCACCAGCUAAGGUCCCAAAAUAUAUGUUAAGUGGAAAAGGAUGUGGCGUUGCCCAGACAACUAGGAUGUUGGCUUAGAAGCAGCCAUCAUUUAAAGAGUGCGUAAUAGCUCACUAGUCGAGUGACACUGCGCCGAAAAUGUACCGGGGCUAAACAUAUUACCGAAGCUGUGGAUUGUCCUUUGGACAAUGGUAGGAGAGCGUUCUAAGGGCGUUGAAGCAUGAUCGUAAGGACAUGUGGAGCGCUUAGAAGUGAGAAUGCCGGUGUGAGUAGCGAAAGACGGGUGAGAAUCCCGUCCACCGAUUGACUAAGGUUUCCAGAGGAAGGCUCGUCCGCUCUGGGUUAGUCGGGUCCUAAGCUGAGGCCGACAGGCGUAGGCGAUGGAUAACAGGUUGAUAUUCCUGUACCACCUAU
rnacentral:rRNA from 1 species